GUGAAUCAUCGAAUCUUUGAACGCAUAUUGCACUCUCUGGUAUUCCGGAGAGUAUGCCUGUUUGAGGGUAAUUAAAAAGAAUCUUUAACCAAUUUUUUUUGGUCAAAGGAAAUGAGCUCUCCGCGUUUAUAGCGGUGGCUUGAAAUAAAUGGUCAAGUCUCAUUUUAGCGGAACCGGUUAAUAUUAUAUUUCCCGGAAUCUUUAUUAAUGUG
rnacentral:misc_RNA from 1 species